rnacentral:RNase_P_RNA from 1 species
GAGGAACGUCCGGACUGCAUAGGGCAGCGUAGCAGCUAACGGCUGUCCACUGAAAUGCGUGCACGCAAGUGCGCGUUAUAAGGUGAGGAUCAGAGCAACAGAGACGAGCCGAUUAAGUUCGGGUGAAACGGGCAAUCUCUACGCGCAGCAAUACCAAGUAGGCCAGCGUUGAUGGGGCCCCCAGAGCUGGCGGGUAGGUAGCACCGAGCGGUUGGGUGACCAACCGCCCAGAUUAAUGGCAGUCACAGGGUGGGCAACCAUCCUGCACAGAAUCCGGCUUA